rnacentral:rRNA from 1 species
AAAAUGACUCUCGGCAACGGAUAUCUCGGCUCUCGCAUCGAUGAAGAACGUAGCGAAAUGCGAUACUUGGUGUGAAUUGCAGAAUCCCGUGAACCAUCGAGUCUUUGAACGCAAGUUGCGCCCGAAGCCAUUCGGUGGAGGGCACGCCUGCCUGGGCGUCAC